GUUUUACUCUACCUAAUUAAAAUCUAUUCAAAUAAAAAAAAAUCAUUUGUACUUUAAAGAAAUGCAAAAUUCACCGCAAACUAAUUUUCAUGCAUUGAUUGCACAAAGUACAUGUAAUUAUUUUUAAUAUUUUGCUUUUUUCUCUUGCUUUAGCUGUAAUAUUUUAAUCUGUUCUGCUACAGCAUUUAGAUUACUGUAUUUUACUGUUGAAACUAUUUUUAUGUUUAUAUGUAUUUUAGAAAGAAAUAAACGUGUAACAUUUUAUUUAAGAUUAAAACUUUUGAGUUUUCCUUUAGUGUAUGUUGUGCCUUAUCCUUGAACCCAGUAGAUGGUGGUACUACAGCUAUACUGGUUGUAGCCACUGUGGUUCCUGUAACUGAUGGGUUGCUGGUUCAAACUUCCCACAUGUAACCCAGGUGUCCGCCAUGACCCAAUCACCUUCCCUUUAAGUUGAUUGUCAUGUGUGCUUCCGGGUUUUGUUUUUUCUUCCCCACCUUGCUGCUACUCACUGUUGGUUGUUUGUAAAACAACCUGGAGUUUCUGAAUUGACUCAUCACUCAUUUAAUCUCUAAAACUUGAAGAUUGCGGUUGUGAUCCAUUGACAGCUGGUGAACCUUCCUGAUCUGAGCAAGUUAUCAUUGCAUCCACCUCAUCAGAUAAUCCGUUACUCGACGGUCAGGUUUUUCCCCCUUCCCCUUGCAUUGACUCACUUGAUGACGGAAGAUGGCGAGCUACCCACCCACCAUCUGGUGGUAGGAAAACGGAACUACACUUUCCCUACAGAAACGAACUAAACUCUGAGUAUUGAAAAGGGAACAUAAUUAUUCUCUUUUUGUUCUUGGAUCUAUUGUGGACUCUAUUACGUUUGAAGUAUCACUGAUUAUUAUUAUAAUUGUUUUUGUUGGUUUGUUUUUUUCCCCUUCUGUUUUUGGAAAUUUAUUGUUUUGUUGUUUUGGUAUUAUUAUUAUUAUUAUUGCCACUGCAAUAAAUAGCAAUAUUAACAAACUUUACUUUUUUGUAUCAGUUGUAUUAAUUAUUCACCCCACUCAUGACUCCGUGCCGUACCUACUUCUGAUUAUACAAACUGGUUAACACUACACCUCGCAGUCAGAUCUGCUCAGUUGAGAAAGGCGCUACACACAUCCAUCUCAGUUGUUGAGUCCUUGAGCAAGGCACCAAACCUGCCUUGCCUGCUGUUAGUCAGAAGUCCGAUGGCGCCCAUUGUGUAGCAGCUUCUGUCAGUCUGCCCUAGGGCAGCUGGGCUACAAUGUAGCUUACCACCAUCAACAUGUAAAGCACUUUGGCAUCCUCUGCACUAGAUAAAUCGCUAUACAUACAUUUACCAUUGACUAAACACUUGCAUUUUGUCUUUUUGUUGCGUUUUGUAUUAAACUUGUCCUGUCUGACA